rnacentral:rRNA from 1 species
GCAUGUCUAAGUACAAGCCUCACUAAGGUGAAACCGCGAAUGGCUCAUUAAAUCACACCUAAUGUACUGGACAGUCUCAGUUACUUGGAUAACUGCGGUAAUUCUGGAGCUAAUACAUGCGUACUAGCCGCGACUCACGGAGCGGUGCUUUUAUUAGAUUAAAACCAAACGGCCUUGAGCCGUCCCCCUGGUGAUUCUGAAUAACUUUGGGCUGAUCGCACGGACUCGUUCCGGCGAACUGUCCUUCCAAGGUGUGCCCUAUCAACUGUCGACUGGGGCAUAGACGCCCACAGUGGUUUUGACGGGUAACGGGGAAUUAGGGUUCGAUUCCGGAGAGGGAGCCUGAGAAACGGCUACCACUUCUAAGGAAGGCAGCAGGCACGCAAAUUACCCACUGGCCGCAGGACGAGGUAGUGACGAAAAAUAACGAUCCCGGACUCAUCCGAGGCCC